GUGGAGACAGAUCCCUCACCAGAUAGAAGGAUGGAGUUGCUGAUGGCUGAUGCAGAAGUUGUGCACUGAUGGUUACAUCCUCUGCAGUGUGGUUUUUACUGACUGGCCCAACUCUUCGAUUGUAGUGCCAGUGUGGGUCGCAGCGACCUGCCCCGCGUCAGUGUGUCUCAGUAAAGGUGUGUCCAUCCCUGCUGCAGCCCGGCUUUGUCUGUGCUGUCGGGAUAGAGAGAUCCCAGUAAGGACACCUCCAGUCUCAUCCCCAGCCCCAUUCAGCAAUCCAGCUAAUCCUGGGGAUGCAGUGCCCCUUUGCCGGGCCCCAGCGGGAGUUCAGCAUCCCCUGAGCAGGGCUGUGAGCGGCACAGGAACACCCUGGCGAAGCUCUGCUUGGACACGUGCUGCUGUGCUCCUGUCUGCUCAGGAAAAGCGGGACACCGCGGUUUCCUCUGCCAGAAACCUAUCUCUGUUGGAAAGGAAACGUAUUUCCUUUUGCAGGACGGUGUCAAGGAAAGCCGAGGCCGUUCAGAGGGGUGAGCUGGGAGUGCUGGGAGGGACAGAGCCUUGCUGGAGCUGCCCAGGACCUCACUGUCAGCUGGCACUCCCCAGGCCCUU
rnacentral:lncRNA from 12 species